UAUUCACAAUGUGAUCUUAUUUCUGUUCCUGAAAAGUUGUUUUCAGUGUAUUUUCUCCUUGAAAUCGAUCACUUCAGUUAGACUUCGAGAUCUACAUUUUCGACAAAGGCCUGGUGUAAUAUUAUUACGUACUUGAUGAAGGUUUAAUGACACGAAUGAGUACAAGUACAUUACAUUUUUCGACGAAGGCCUUCUGUAAUUUCAUACGCUUCUUACGCAACAUUCAAUAGAUUUAUUUACUGUAUUAUCAUUUCGACCAAGGCGAAUUCGACACUUCAAUUACACAAGGUUAGUAACUUUUGUUCACAAAAUCCAAAUGGAGGCAAAUACAGAACAAUCAAACUUAGUCAUUCCAGUCAGUUACUGAAGCACAGUGAAAACUGUCGGGAGCAGUGCAACUGAUGGCAUGUCAAACUUCCAGUGACUGUCCCUGUCCAUAUAUUUCAAGACAGUACAAAUCUUGUAAUCAUUUUGUUUAUGCAAUGUACGUUAUUAUGUAUCAUUUCAGCACAAUCAAACUUAGUCAUUCCAGUCAGUUACUGAAGCACAGCGAAAACUGUCUGAAUUAGUGCUGCUGAUGGCAUGUAAUUACUCUACUACCACUACCAGUGGCAGUCAAUGUCCAAAUAUUUUCAAGUGUGCGAAAUUAGUACUCGUCUACUUCUUAGUGUUAUUUGAAUGCAAUGUAUGUUAUAAAAAUAUUUUUUCAACACUAUAUCAACAUUCUCAUUCCUGUCAGUUUCUGAAAAUCAGCUAAAGCAAUCGCUACCAAUGCAGCUGAUAACAGCAAUUCUUUUUGUUCCCAAUGCCCAUCCAUGACAAUAUAUUUCACGCAUGUGACAAUCAUGUAAUCAUCCUGUUUUUUGUGUUCUAUUCAUGCAAUAAAUAAAUUCAGUAUUUUCAAAUCAUUGGUGCUACAAAACUAUUCUCAUUAUAGAUUAUUCAUAUUUUAUAAAAUGCUGUCAUGUCAAAUUUUGUGUCCUAUAAAUCAUAAUGAAGUCGGCAUUUUAUAUACAACUUUUGUACUCCUCCUAAAUAAACAUACAAAUCUUGUUUUAUGUAAACUUUGUAUAUGUGACCCGUCACAGCAAAACCAGGCGCAUGUCGCUCUGAGCUUGGCAGGUUGAGACGGACUGUUCUAAUCUUUCAUUAGCGACACCAUUUCUUACCAGAGUGCCUCCUUCAUUCAUACAUCUUGUACUUUAACUCAAGAUACCCAUCUUUGAAUAUUUUUAGUAUACCAAG